rnacentral:piRNA from 1 species
UGAUUGUGCAUUUAAGACAAA